rnacentral:tRNA from 1 species
GUUGAUAUCCGUUAGUGGGGUUCGUGUUUCGGCCGCGGACUUGGGAGUUGUGAUUCUUCCUAUCAAUU